UUCCUAGCAGGGCUUCUACCUUAAGUCCUUGCCAACUUCCCUGCUCCAGUGAAGUGGUCUGCCAAGAUAAAAAGUAGCAUGAAGAUGGCCGUUGUUUUCCUUUUUCCUACCCUCCAAAUUCAGAGCUGGGUUGUCUCCUUGCUCCAGAGUCUUGUGACCUGCCUGGGUUGCUGUUAGCUUUCCAGAGAGAAGAGAUCUCUCACAUUGAACAUUGAAGUGUUGGCACCUGAUACAGUGAUCUGAAAAAAGUUAAAAAAAAAAAAAAAAAAAAAAAGACUGCUUUUGUGGAGUGGGGGGAUCUAUCUAAUUACAGAACAAUUUCAUCAGCCCAAAAAGAAACCCUGUACCAUUAGUGGUCACUCUCCCUUUCUCCCCUAGCAGCCACCUCUUUUCCUUCAUAGUACAGAGCCUGCCCUGCUGCUGUGGAGCUCUUUGAGUGUCCUUUUGCAUUCUUGCUUCUUUUUUCUUCCACAUGCAUUUUAUUUUUUUGUUACCUUGUUAAGGUUUACUUUUCAGAGUCAUUAGUUAUUCUUUGGCAAUGACUCCAUAAAAUCAACUUGGAGAAUAAUUAUCAUAUUACUUUUAAUUUUCUUUAGUUGGGCCCAGGUGUGUUGUCUUCUCAUUCUUUUUCUACAUCCUCAGAUCUUUCUUUUUUCUAUUUAAACUUUGUUAUUUUCCCCCUUUUUUGAACCUCUUCCUCUUAGGUUUAACCUUGAUUGGUAGGCAAGUUCUAUUUCAUUCUUGCCAAUUAUGUCCUUUGUUUUCAAAUUCAAAAAAUAUUUGAUGAUUUUCUUUGUGAUUCUAAACAGUUAAUCUUAAUUCUUUGUAUGGACCUCAUUAUUGUAGGUUAAUUAUUUUUAAAUGAUUUCCAGUUCUAAUGGUUUCACCUGCUUUGUUUUCUAUUUAGUUGCCUGUUUUCUGUCAUUGUCUUAUAAAUUGUCAUCUUAUAAUUUACAUUCUACUUGGCUCAUUCCUUUUUUUUAAAUUUUUUAUUUUAAUCCCAUUUCUGCUAUUUGCUGCCUUCAGAGGUGUUUUAAAUUCUUUUGUAAUACGUUAUAGUUCUGCAGUAUGUAUUCUGAUCUGUUUUUAUUUAAUAUCCCCCUUAUAUGUAACACUUUAAAUGUUGUUAGUAAACCCCAUUCUGUCUUUCUCUAUCUCUGUUUUUGUAAAUUUGAUUCUGCCAAACCUCCUUUUCUCCUGGGCCUUUAUGGUUUGUAUGCAAUUACCACUCCCAGCUCCUGGCUUGCCCUUUAAAAUUUGCUUGCUGUGUUGCUUCACUUGAGUCUCAUCUUUGUUCUCUGUUUGUAACAUGCUUAUUUAUUUUGUUGGGUUUUGAAGGAGGCAUUCUGUACCAUUUCUCACUUAGUGCUUCACAAAGUUCUGUUGUGAAAGACUGAACACAUUCUUGUACAAUGGAAAGAACACAGAAUUCAGAGAAAAGACCAAGGGUUGAUUCUAGCCCUCUCCUUGGGUGGCUUUGGUUAAGUCACUUAGACUUUACAAUAGGAUUUUAACUCUUCUAAAGUUUUAAAGUAUUGUUGUUAUGUUCUUUAAAAUUAGCAUAAUUUUUUAAAGUAGGCUCCACGCCCAACAGAGGAACCCAAUGUAGGGCUUGAAUUCAUGACCCUGAGAUCAAAACCUGAGCUGAGGGCACCUGGGUGGCUCAGUUGGUUAAGCACCCGACUUUGGUUCAGGUCAUGAUCUUAAAGUUUGUGGGUUCAAGCCCCACACUGGCCUCUCUGCUGUCAGCACAGAGCCCACUUUUAGACCCUCUGUCCAUUCCCCUCUCUCUGCCUCUCCCCUGCUCGUGCUCUCUCUCUCUCUCAAAAAUAUGUAAACACUUAAAAAAAAAAAAAAAGCUGAGAUCAAGAGUCAGACACUUAACUGACUAAGCCACCCAGACGCCCGAGCAUAAUUUUUAUGUUUAAUGAAAAUAUAAGGAAUAUUAUUCAGAGUUUACAGUGAUACAGAAAAUUUAUAUUAUUAGGUGAUUUCAUGGUUAACUUAAAAUAAUAUAAAAACUGAGAUUGUUAGGACUAGGACUCUAAUAAAAAUUAUUGUCUUCUAGGUGGCAGUGGUAUUGUUUGCAUAUGUACAGAAUUUAGGAAGUGAGUUCACAGAUACCUUUUCUUCCAAAUAACCCUAUACAGUAUGUGAGAGGUCUCUGAAGCCCUCAGGGGAUCCUCUGUGUAGACUCCCAGAUUAUUGAAACACAGAAACUCAGGCCAGGAUCUGAUGGAUGGAGGACUAGAUUGAGGAAUUGGGAAGUCAUCAAGAAUUAAAACAAUGUGAUUGUCAUUCUCUCUGGAGCAGCAGGCCCUUUCUCUGUGGCUCCGUUUCAUAGUCCUCUCUGCAGAAAGAAGUGUGGGUAUGCAUGGCCCAGCUCAGCCUUUGGGUGCGUUCUCUCUGUGCUGGGUACUAUUACUUUGUCAUCCAUGACAGUGGGGCAAAUCUCCGUGGGUGAGGGGAAUGUGGGCUGGGCAGAUACCCUAAAAGAGUCUCACAGAAAGUUACCUGGGAGAACUUUGCAAAGAGUUCCAGGCUCCACUUCCCAGAGGUUUUGUUCAGUGAAUAGGUAUGGAAUAGAAACUGGUUGCCCACACUUUUAAAAGCACCCUGGAUGACUCUAAUAUAUACUUAGGUUUCGAAAUCACUUGGAUACAUGUAAAUAAAUCAAUAUGUAUUUGUGUAAGGAAAUAAUGGAAAGAUAAACAGAAAACUCAAAAUGUUUACGGGGUGGGGUGAAUAAAGACAGGGAUAGGAAUAUUUAGAAAACAAAACCUCAAAAAACCCUCAUUAAAAAAAAUAAAAUUGAAGAUACUGAGGACCAGAAGGUGUUUCUAUGGCCAGUUUUCUCAUCUGCGAAGUAAUGCCAAUUUUUGGUACUAAUUAUUUAAAUUCAUUUUUCCUCAUGAGCAUAAUCAUAGAAAUUAAUACUGGUAGGUUUGGAGAAGAAAGGAAUAGUGGGAGAACCUGUGUUCUCUUGCCUUAUUUCUAUUCUGUAGGGAGAUCUCUCCCACAGCGAUCUAAAACUGUGAGAUAACCUGUCUGGGACAAAAUGGGCUUAGAAGAAAAAGGUUAGAGCAAUGAUUCUAACUAAGCCUUAGUUAUACAUUAGAAUCAUUUGGAGUCCUUUUUAUUUUUUUAUUUUUUAAUAUUUAUUUAUUUAAGUGUAUUUAUUUUGAGAGACAGAGCACAAAUGGGGGAGAG